CCUUACGGGNGNCACCAGUGGGNANUNUUNCAANGGNGGAAAGUNUGACGGANCAACCCGCGUGAGNGAAGAAGGUUUUGGGUUNGUAAAACUNUUUUGUAGGGGAAGAACAAGUACCAAUUAAAUGCCGGUACCUUGACGGUACCUCACCAGAAAGCCCCGGCUAACUACGUGCCAGCAGCCGCGGUAAUACGUAGGGGGCAAGCGUUGUCCGGAAUUAUUGGGCGUAAAGCGCGCGCAGGCGGUCCUUUAAGUCUGAUGUGAAAGCCCCCGGCUCAACCGUGGAGGGUCAUUGGAAACUGGGGGACUUGAGUGCAGAAGAGGAAAGUGGAAUUCCACGUGUAGCGGUGAAAUGCGUAGAGAUGUGGAGGAACACCCGUGGCGAAGGCGGCUUUCUGGUCUGUAACUGACGCUGAGGCGCGAAAGCGUGGGGAGCAAACAGGAUUAGAUACCCUGGUAGUCCACGCCGUAAACGAUGAGUGCUAAGUGUUAGGGGGNUCCGCCCCUUAGUGCUGCAGNUAACGCAAGCA
rnacentral:rRNA from 1 species